rnacentral:rRNA from 1 species
GACGAACGCUGGCCGUGCUUAACACAUGCAAGUCGAACGGAAAGGCCCUGCUUUUGUGGGGUGCUCGAGUGGCGAACGGGUGAGUAACACGUGAGUAACCUGCCCUUGACUUUGGGAUAACUUCAGGAAACUGGGGCUAAUACCGGAUAGGAGCUCCUGCUGCAUGGUGGGGGUUGGAAAGUUUCGGCGGUUGGGGAUGGACUCGCGGCUUAUCAGCUUGUUGGUGGGGUAGUGGCUUACCAAGGCUUUGACGGUUAGCCGGCCUGAGAGGGUGACCGGCCACAUUGGGACUGAGAUACGGCCCAGACUCCUACGGGAGGCAGCAGUGGGGAAUAUUGCACAAUGGGCGGAAGCCUGAUGCAGCAACGCCGCGUGCGGGAUGACGGCCUUCGGGUUGUAAACCGCUUUCGCCUGUGACGAAGCGUGAGUGACGGUAAUGGGUAAAGAAGCACCGGCUAACUACGUG